UACGGGGGGGGGCAAGCGUUGUUCGGAAUUACUGGGCGUAAAGGGCUCGUAGGCGGCCAACUAAGUCGGACGUGAAAUCCCCAGGCUCAACCUGGGAACUGCGUCCGAUACUGGAUGGCUUGAAUUCGGGAGAGGGAUGCAGAAUUCCAGGUGUAGCGGUGAAAUGCGUAGAUAUCUGGGAGGAAUACCGGUGGCGAAGGCGGCAUCCUGGACCGACAUUGACGCUGAGGAGCGAAAGCUAGGGGAGCAAACGGG
rnacentral:rRNA from 1 species